GCCAGCAGCCGCGGUAAUUCCAGCUCCAAUAGCGUAUAUUAAAAUUGUUGCAGUUAAAAAGCUCGUAGUUGAAUUUCUGCUAAAAAUAACCGGUCUGCUUUUAAUAAAGGUGGUAUCUUGGUGUGUUUUUAGCAAUAAUGUCCUUUGAAAUGUUUUUUACUUCAUUGUAAUUAAUUAUAUUCAGGAUUUUUACUUUGAGAAAAUUAGAGUGUUUCUAGCAGGCUAACGCUUUGAAUA
rnacentral:rRNA from 1 species